rnacentral:rRNA from 1 species
UGGGGAAUAUUGGACAAUGGGCGAAAGCCUGAUCCAGCCAUGCCGCGUGAAUGAUGAAGGUCUUAGGAUUGUAAAAUUCUUUCACCGGGGACGAUAAUGACGGUACCCGGAGAAGAAGCCCCGGCUAACUUCGUGCCAGCAGCCGCGGUAAUACGAAGGGGGCUAGCGUUGCUCGGAAUUACUGGGCGUAAAGGGAGCGUAGGCGGAUAGUUCAGUCAGAGGUGAAAGCCCAGGGCUCAACCUUGGAACUGCCUUUGAUACUGGCUAUCUUGAGUUUGGGAGAGGUGUGUGGAACUCCGAGUGUAGAGGUGAAAUUCGUAGAUAUUCGGAAGAACACCAGUGGCGAAGGCGACCACCUGGACUGAUACUGACACUGAGGUGCGAAAGCGUGGGGAGCAAACAGGAUUAGAUACCCCCGUAGUCCCUGAGCGGGCUGGCAAGGCGCAU